rnacentral:rRNA from 1 species
UGGGGAAUCUUGGACAAUGGGCGCAAGCCUGAUCCAGCCAUGCCGCGUGAGUGAAGAAGGCCCCAGGGUUGUAAAGCUCUUUCGGCGGGGACGAUAAUGACGGUACCCGCAGAAGAAGCCCCGGCUAACUCCGUGCCAGCAGCCGCGGUAAUACGGAGGGGGCUAGCGUUGUUCGGAAUUACUGGGCGUAAAGCGCACGUAGGCGGGUCGUUAAGUCGGGGGUGAAAUCCUGGGGCUCAACCUCAGAACUGCCUUCGAUACUGGCGACCUUGAGUACGGGAGAGGUAAGUGGAAUUCCCAGUGUAGAGGUGAAAUUCGUAGAUAUUGGGAAGAACACCAGUGGCGAAGGCGGCUCACUGGCCCGUAACUGACGCUGAGGUGCGAAAGCGUGGGGAGCAAACA